rnacentral:rRNA from 1 species
CUACGGGCGGCUGCAGUGAGGAAUAUUGCACAAUGGGGGGAACCCUGAUGCAGCAACGCCGCGUGGAGGAUGACGCAUUUCGGUGUGUAAACUCCUUUUAUAUGUCAAGAAAAUGACGGUAGCAUAUGAAUAAGCACCGGCUAACUCCGUGCCAGCAGCCGCGGUAAUAUGGAGGGUGCAAGCGUUACUCGGAAUCACUGGCCGUAAAGGACGCGUAGGCGGGUUGGAAAGUCAGGUGUGAAAUCCUACAGCUUAACUGUAGAACUGCACUUGAAACUUCUAAUCUAGAGUAUGGGAGGGGGAGAUGGAAUUAGUGGUGUAGGGGUAAAAUCCGUAGAUAUCACUAGGAAUACCUAAAGCGAAGGCGAUCUCCUGGAACAUUACUGACGCUAAGGCGUGAAAGCGUGGGGAGCAAACAGGAUUAGAUACCCGCGUAGUC